rnacentral:rRNA from 1 species
GACGAACGCUGGCGGCGUGCUUAACACAUGCAAGUCGAACGAAGUGGCGAACGGGUGAGUAAUACGUGGGUAACCUGCCCUCCUUUUUGGGAUAAGCCUUGGAAACGGGGUCUAAUACCGAAUAAAGGGGGAUGAGCUCGCGGCCUAUCAGCUUGUUGGUGGGGUGAUGGCCUACCAAGGCGGUGACGGGUAGCCGGCCUGAGAGGGUGACUGGCCAAAUUGGGACUGAGAUACGGCCCAUGAUCAUACGGGAGGCAGCAGUGGGGGGUAUGGCACGAUAGGCGAAAGCAUGAUGCAGCGACGGCUGGAGGGGGAUGAAGGUUUUGGGGUGGUAAAGCUGUUUCGCUAUCGAAAGGGUAGGUGGAGAAGAAGCGCCGGCUAACUACGUGCCAGCAGCCGCGGUAAUAC